ACCUUGCUCGCGUCAGUCUAGAACUCCUCGGUGCGCGCUCCUCCCCUUCGAGCCUCCAGAGUCCAGAUCCACCGGUGGUGGCAGAUGCAGCGGACGGGAUUGCGGUCGGGCGGUGGCCUAGGGAACGCCCCAGCGGGUGGCGGCGGCUUAUGGCGAGCUGCACGGACGAGCUGCUUCGACGAAGCGAAAAUGACGAGCCCCUGCUGCCCCAGCCUCGCCGCCGCAGACUGCCCCCAUCCCCAGCCGCAACGCUGAAGCUUUACUCGACGGUGCGGCGCAGGCGGAUGAAAUUGGCCAGAGUUGGGGAUCGAGAAGGAUGAACACGUCGGAGAACAGGAUUGAGGGAUUGAGCGAUUGGAGGGUGGUGGCAGACGUGGUCCUCAGGGAGAAAGAAAUUUGGCUGGGCCGCAGUGCCGCACUGUCAUGGACGCGGCGUGGGCAAGCCGUGAGGCGAUGGAGGCUAUGUUCCUUCGUUACUCACUGUACGGUUGCUGAAACUGUUUCAACUGAAGAUUAAAAUCUUGUAGCUGCAGGCUCGCUGUUCCAGAAAAUUAUACUAUUUCUGUUACGUGUAGCUGCUGGUGUCGCAAAACUUGAUGUGCUUCCAAAGCUUGUUCCUUGCAGGUUGUUAGUUGUAGCUCAUCAGAAGUAGCAAGAAUAUUCUGCUUGAGAGUUCGCUAGAUUGUGUUUCCUUUGUAUACACAUAGAGCUAUUCUCAUGAGAAGCACCGGCUUCUAUCCUUCAAUUUGUAUAUUGAAAUUCUGAACUUUCUUGGCAACUAGCCAUUGUAUGUAUUCAGCUCUGUUUUGUGAUGUGUGCGUAACAAAUCUAA